rnacentral:rRNA from 1 species
AGAGUUUGAUCCUGGCUCAGAACGAACGCUGGCGGCAGGCUUAAUACAUGCAAGUCGAACGCCUGUAGCAAUACAGGAGUGGCGCACGGGUGAGUAACGCGUGGGAACCUACCCUUUGGUACGGAACAACGCAGGGAAACUUGCGCUAAUACCGUAUGAGCUCUUUGGAGGAAAGAUUUAUCGCCGAAGGAUGAGCCCGC